rnacentral:lncRNA from 7 species
AUAUCAAGUGGCAGCAGCAGCUGCUGAAGUAGACUUCAAUCCAUAGGAGAAAGUCUGCUCCAAAAGAAGGCAGUAUUGAAGCAUGGAACUGAAAUCUGCUGAUCAGUGUUAAGGUUAGGCUAAAAUACUACCUGACCUGAAUUGCAGUUUCUUUAAUUCUCCUGUUUAUAAUUACCGAAGAAGGUACGUAUGUAAACGGGAAUCGAUCCACUACAGAGAGGUCAAGAGGUGAAAAAGUACAACGUGAACUAAGGAGGUUUGAGCAGAAGAAAUCAGUUUUUGAUCCAAAAGACUUAAGAGAGCUAGCAACAGAAAAGAGCUGUCAAAAUUUUACUUUUCAUAUUAAAGACCAAAAAAUUGUAAUUCACCUUAAAUCAGGGCAGUAGCAAAUGAAAUCGGAUGGACCUCACAGCCUCCUGGCUACACAGUCCAAAGUUUCUGACACUGAAACUGUUGAAGAUUUAUUCCUCGUUGUCCUGUUCCUAUUUCUAUCUCCUUUCUCUACAUUUACGCAUUCUUUAUAUGUAUGUAUUUAUAUGUUGAUUUAUAAUGUGAAGAUAAAAAAAAGUUAUAUUAUUUGAAAAUACAUUUGAAGACAGUUCU